GGUACAUUUUAGGUAUCCUGUACAGUUACAUUCAUCAUUGGCAUUGUCAUCUUGGUAGCUGCAUAGGUUUAAAUCUGGAGGAGACAAAGCAAAAGAAACAGUUAAGAAUGCAUGGAACAAAUUAUAAGGUACCCUGGCAAACGCUUGGUGGGUGAUCUGCUUUGUAAGUUUUUGCCACCUUCAGUCAUGGGACAUCAUCAUUUUCUCACAUAAACAUUUGAAGAAG
rnacentral:lncRNA from 1 species